rnacentral:rRNA from 1 species
UACGUAGGGUGCAAGCGUUGUCCGGAAUUAUUGGGCGUAAAGAGCUCGUAGGCGGUUUUGUAAGUCUGACGUGAAAGCCCCGGGCUUAACCUGGGAAUUGCGUUGGAGACUGCAAGGCUUGAAUCUGGCAGAGGGGGGUAGAAUUCCACGUGUAGCAGUGAAAUGCGUAGAGAUGUGGAGGAACACCGAUGGCGAAGGCAGCCCCCUGGGUCAAGAUUGACGCUCAUGCACGAAAGCGUGGGGAGCAAACAGG